AUAGCAUAUUGCUGUCAUACAAGCCGAACGAUCGGAAUAAAAUUCUUCUAAGGAACGUUUUGAAUUUGUGAAGGGUCCGGUGCAACCGAAGUUAAAGUUUUUGCUUGUUUUUUAAAUAAUAUAAGGCUACAAAAAAAAAUAUAUGAAAUUAAAAGCUCUUAAAAAAUUUUGGUUAAUUUCCUACAAACAAAAGAACUAUAACGAAUCAUAGCGAAAUUGGGGCUCACUAACUACCACCACUUAUACUCGUAUAGAAUCGGGACACAUCCUGUCAUAUUGCACUAAAAUUAAUGUUCAUUUUUGCUGUUCCUAUCACUGCACUAAAGUACUUUUUUUCUUUGUUUUAAGAUAUAGCUAAUUUUUAAGAGUAGUGAAGAACCAGCCAUCUCUCUUGACAAUCUUUUAAUGCUGACUGGGUGUACGGAAUAUAUGCGAGUCAGUACCGGUUCAUUGAUCAGAUUCAUUACAAUUGCUUAAAUAUUGACUUGAUAAAGUAAAUAAAUGCUAUUAGAAAGUUAGUAGAUAUUUGAUUGUACAACAAUAAUAACCAAAUUAGGUGUUUCGCAGGAUUGGUGCUUUUAAUUAAGACGCUCAGUGUUGCUUUAAUAAAUUUUCUUGUUUUUUAUAAAAUGGCCACAACAAUUCGCACUCAAGAUGCUAAAACAGUGAACCGUAUUCGUGAGUCAGGUACCUACACCUUUACUGAAGCUUUGGCACUAACAAAUUUUGGAAAAUUCAACUAUGUUUUGAUUUUCAUAUCCGGCUUAGUAACGGGCACACUGGUGCUGGAGACCACUUCUAUAGGCUUUGUUCUGCCCAUCGCUCAAUGCGAAUUGCAACUGACCAAUCGCGACAAAGGUAUACUCAGUGCAAUAAAUUUUGUGGGUAUAAUCACUAGUUCACAUAUGUGGGGAUUUUUUGCUGAUACCAAGGGACGUCGGCGGGUGUUAUGGUCCACUUUGUUGGCAGCUUUUGUGUCUACUGUUUUCUCCAGUUUCGCACAUAAUUUUUGGACAAUGGUUUUACUACGUUUCGUUAAUGGAUUUUUUGUGUCCAGCACUGCUGUCAUUUACGCUUACCUUGGCGAAUUCCAUUCACCAAAAACACGUUCACGCGCAAUAAUGUGCUCAGGAGUCAUAUAUUCCGUUGUUGGGAUGCUUCUGCCGAUAAUCGCUUACUUGGUAAUAAAUCAAGACUGGGUUUUGUCUUUAACAUUUCUUCGCAUAAGCUAUAGACCAUGGCGUGUCUUUCUAAUCGUAUGUGGUGUUCCCGGAUUACUUUGCAGUCUUAUAAUUUAUAUUUUGCCCGAAAGUCCAAAGUUUUUACUGACGGUUGGUGAGGAGACGAAGGCCAUACAGGUGUUGCAAAAAAUGCACCGCUGGAAUAAUGGAAAAGAAACACUCAAAAUGAUGACACUUCGAUCAUAAUAUCGAAACUUAACCACUGCGAUUCGAAUUCGAAUUUCGCACUCGUAUUUUUGCUAACGAUGUGGAAUCAAACCGCACCGUUGUUUGAACGGAAAUAUUUAAAAAUGACGGUAAUAAUUUGUAAUAUUCAAUUUUGGGCACUAGUCGCUGCCAAUGGCUUAUAUAUGUGGUUCCCGCAAACAAUUAAUAGUGUGGCGGCAUUCAUACAGGAACACCCAGGCGAGCACAAACAUAUUUGUGAAAUUGUCUAUGAUCAGCAAGAAAGCUUAUACAAAACUGAUGGAACCAUAGAGUGCCUGAAUAAACUGGAGACACCCACAUUUUAUUACUCUCUUAUUAUGAAUAUACUUUACGCCAGCUCAUUCGCAUUAGUGGGCUUUAUCAUAAAUCGUGUGGGAAAAAUAUAUAUUCUUUUUAUUACCAUAAUAUUUUUCACAUCCUGCGGUUUAGCUUCGGUCUUCAUAGUCAAUUCAGUUAUUGCCGCCUACCUAUAUGUGCUCUUUUUCGUGGUAGGCGUGGCAAUCAUUGUGCUGAAUGUUAUUACAGUGGAGUUGUAUCCAACACACCUUCGCGCCAUGGCCACAUGCAUAUCACUAAUGGUGGGUCGUGUUGGAAGUAUAGCCGGGGCCAACGUUGCUGGAGUUUUGAUGGGUCAGCACUGCGAAUGGAAUUUUUAUAUCUGCUGUGGAGCUCUAUUUAUUUGCGCUUUUCUUGCUUUGCUGCUGCCACGUAAAAAUGUUCAUGGUGCAUCGUAAACAGAAUAUAAACUUAAAACUUUGGGCAAAGCUCUUGGUGAAAUUUAUGAAAGCACAUCUCAGCUUCAAAGCAAAGGCAAAAACCAGUUUACUCAUAUUAUUCAUUUUAUUAAGUUUAUACGAAACCUUGGAAAUUAUAUUAAAUAUAAAGAACUAAAUUAAAAUAUAAUAGUUUUAUUCAGAAGUGUGUCUUCUUUAGAUAAAAAAAAACCCAUGUAUAUGUGUGUACCAUCUAAUCAACAAUAACCUGGACUGCCAAAAAAUAAUACAUUUUCAUGUAUUUCAAUACAAACAUUUAUUAUGGCCUUUAAAAUAUACUCCUUAGCCAAUACAAAAAUGCUAACGCUUAAUUCGAUUUUCCAUAACUUUUCAGUUUCGGCUCAUUUGGUUGUAGCGUAAUAAACCCAUGGCUCGUCACCAGUAAUGAGGGUCCUCAGCUACGUUGCCUACCAUCUCUCUAGCGACCUUUACUCGUCGUAGUUUUUGCAAAUUUUAUAGGUCUUUUGGUACGAGUCUAGCACUGAUACGCUUCCUACCACAAACAUUAACCAACAUGUGUUGAUUCGAUGCAGAAGAUAUGUUGAUAUCCUCCGCUAACUAUUUGAUGACAACACGACGAUCUUCAAGCACUGUUUCUUUAACAUUUUCUAUGUUCUCGUCAUUAACAAAGGUGGAUCGACGACUCGCAGAAUGCAGGUGUUCGAUGAGUUCUCGACUUUCACUGAAUUCUUUGAGCCACUCAAAUACUUGUAUUCGUGGUAUACGAUUUCGUAGCCAUGAUUCCAUUGAAAACAAAAAAUUGCAAGCAAACUAUUUGUUAACUUUCUGUGCGUGGUAAAAAUCGCUCAUUUUACACGCACACUAAACACUAUAAAAGAAUUCUUAAAUAUUGUAAUUUUAAAAAUUGUAGUUAGUUGUUGGAUCCUGAUUGAUAAUCACAGCGUCAAGAGGGUAUCAGUUUCGUUUUUUUUUGUUUUUUUGAUAAGCUUAUGAAUAAUGGAAUAACAAAUACUCUACCAUUGUUUACGUCUAGCGCUCAGUGGGUAUUUCAGCGUUCUGUAAAAAAGUUGAGGAAGAUAUAAAAACGGCAAACACUUAACAGUGAUCACAAUUAUUGAAAAUGUUAUGU